rnacentral:tRNA from 1 species
GCCCUAGUGGCAUAACAGUUAAGCAUUUGGCUGCUAACCUAAAGGUUGGUGGUUUGAAACUACCCAGUGGCU